AUAUUUUUAAGAAAGCGAGGCAUCAAUUUUUAGUUGACGAUCAAUAAGUGAAUAAUUUGUGAUAUUGCACGGUACGGUUUUGGAUUCCCGUCGUCUUCUUCGUCUCUGGUUUACUCUCUCGUGUUCAACUCACAUGCAUACUCUUAAACCCUAAACCCUAAAACUCAGGACAGAUCUGGAAGAUAAAAGGCAUAGCUGCUGGACAGAGAUGCAUAUAUGAAGAUGAUCUUGAGGAAUCCAGGAGCAAUAUUGAGGUGUGAUUCGAAGUGCUUGUACAUAUUUACCAAUUCGAGGAAUUUGGUUUCUUUAUCUAAUGGCCCUUCUUCUUCUGAAUUGGGUGGGAAAUUCUCUUCGUUUAUGGAUAGGAAUAGUCAAGAAAACUGGAGAAGUAUUGACAGCGUAAAGAAAGAAGUGGAUGGUGUAUGCCGUAUUUUGGAAGGUGGUACUUGGGGACCCGAUGUUGAGAAUGCUUUGUCCAUGCUUGAUGAAAGUCCUAAACCAGAAUGUGUUAUUCGAGUCUUAAGGAGGCUGAAGGAUGUUAAUCAAGCAGUAAAUUAUUUUCGAUGGGCUGAGAAAAAAACUGACCAGGCACUAUGUCCAGAGGCAUACAAUUCACUUAUAAUGGUAAUGGCUAAAACGAGAAAGUUUGAAUAUUUCGAACAAAUUCUAGGAGAAAUGAGUAUCGCUGGAUUUGGCCCAUCGACUAACACGUGCAUUGAGUUAAUUUUGAGCUGUGUCAAGUCGCAGAAGCUCAGAGAAGCUUUCGAUCUUCUUCAAUGCAUGAGGAAAUUCAAAUUUCGCCCUGCAUUUUCAGCUUAUACGACUUUGAUUGGUGCUUUAGCUGGAGCUCAUGAGUCUGACCUUAUGCUUACUCUUUUUCAUCAAAUGCAGGAACUAGGUUAUGAAUUAAGUAUACAUUUGUUUACAACUGUGAUUCGUGUAUUUGCCAAGGAGGGUCGUCUUGAUGCUGCUCUCUCCUUGUUGGAUGAGAUGAGAAGCAAUUGUUUUGAUGCUGACAUUGUUCUAUAUAAUGUCUGUAUAGAUUGCUUUGGUAAGGUGGGUAAAGUGGAUAUGGCCUGGAAAUUCUUUCAUGAGAUGAAAGCAAAUGGUUUGUUGCCUGAUGACGUUACUUAUACCAGCAUGAUAGGUGUUCUUUGCAAAGCAAACCGACUGGAUGAAGCUGUGGAAAUAUUUGAGCAGAUGGAAGAAAACAGAAAAGUUCCUUGUGCGUAUGCUUACAACACAUUGAUUAUGGGUUAUGGAUCAGCUGGGAAGUUUGAUGAGGCAUAUGGUUUACUUGAGAGACAAAAGGCAAAGGGGUGCAUUCCAAGUGUGAUUGCAUACAAUUGCAUACUGACAUCCCUUGGGAGGAUGGGAAGAUUAGAGGAGGCAUCAAGAAUCUUUGAGGAGAUGAAGAAAGAUGCGGUUCCCAAUUAUGUAACAUAUAAUCUUCUAAUAGACAUGCUAUGCAAAGCAGGACAAGUUGAGGAUGCUUUCAAGGUUCGUGAUGCAAUGGGAAAAGCUGGUUUAUUUCCUAAUGUCAUGACUGUAAACAUAAUGAUUGACAGACUAUGUAAAGCUAACAAACUUGAUGAGGCCUGUUCUAUAUUUGAAGGAAUGGAUCAUAAUGUUUGCACACCAAAUGAGGUUACUUUCUGUUCGCUUAUAGAUGGUUUGGGCAAACAAGGUAGGUUAGAUGAUGCCUACAGGCUUUAUGAACAGAUGUUGGAUUCUGAUAGAAUCCCAAGUCCAAUUGUGUAUACAUCCCUCAUUAGAAACUUCUUCAGGUGUGGCCGGCAGGAGGAUGGUCACAAGAUAUACAAGGAAAUGCUCCGUGGAGGUUGUUCUCCUGAUCUCAUGCUUCUUAAUACCUACAUGGAUUGUGUUUUCAAAGCUGGUGAAACUGAGAAAGGAAGGGCUUUGUUUGAGGAAAUAAAAGCUCGAGGAUUCAUUCCAGAUGUUCGAAGUUAUUCUAUCCUAAUUCAUGGCCUAGUGAAGGCUGGUUUUGCACGUGAAACUUAUGAGUUGUUCUAUGCAAUGAAAGACCAGGGUUGUAUUCUGGACACCCGUGCUUACAACACUGUUAUUGAUGGGUUCUGCAAGUCAGGUAAGGUGAAUAAAGCUUAUCAGCUGCUGGAGGAAAUGAAAACAAAGGGCCACCAACCAACUGUAGUCACCUAUGGUUCUGUGAUUGAUGGGCUUGCCAAAAUUGAUAGGCUUGAUGAAGCAUACAUGCUCUUUGAAGAAGCCAAGUCUAAUGGCAUAGAGUUAAACGUUGUUAUCUAUAGCAGUCUCAUUGAUGGGUUUGGAAAAGUGGGUAGAAUUGAUGAGGCAUACCUAAUCAUGGAAGAGUUGAUGCAAAGAGGUUUAACACCCAAUGUCUACACAUGGAAUUGCUUGCUUGAUGCAUUGGUGAAAGCAGAGGAAACUAAUGAAGCCCUUGUCUGCUAUCAAUCCAUGAAAAACUUGAAAUGCACUCCCAAUCAUAUAACUUAUAGCAUUCUCAUAAAUGGUCUCUGCAGGAUUAGAAAAUUUAACAAGGCCUUUGUGUUUUGGCAAGAGAUGCAAAAGCAAGGGUUAAAACCCAAUACCAUUACUUACACUACUAUGAUUGCUGGACUUGCAAAGGCUGGAAACGUUUCAGAUGCUAAUUCACUUUUUGAAAGGUUUAAGGCAAAUGGGGGUGUGCCUGAUUCUGCAUGCUAUAAUGCUAUAAUAGAAGGAUUGAGUUAUGCAAACAGAGCAAUGGAGGCAUAUAAGCUUUUCGAGGAAACUCGGAUGAAAGGUUUUAAUAUACAUACCAAAACUUGUAUUGCUCUGGGGGAUGCACUGCAUACAGCUGGUUGUCUUGAACAGGCAGCAAUUGUGGGGGCUGUAUUAAGGGAAAUAGCAAAUUCUCAACAUGCUGCAAGAUCUUGGUAACAUCAUCAUGAUUUUAUCCGAUGCUAAGGCAUUUGAUAUCAUAAUCUGUUUCUCACUUUAUCAUUUACAUAUCCGUUUCCUCAGUGGGGCUAUAGUUGCUCUCUGCAAAGGUUAUGAAUUGAAGCUUCCUCUUUGCAAGCAUCUCUGCAAGUUAAAUUCAGCGGUCACAUACCUACAAAUGACAUCCUAGCUGGUAUAAGCUUGUAAGUCAAACUUACCAAUUUACCUCCAGAAAAUUAGUGCCAGGCGAGUACAAGGAUCUUACUCCCCAUCUGGGUGCAUGUGGAGUUUGGAUCUUCUUGUUUACUCCUGACAAAGGAUGCUUGCAAUGUGAUCAUGAAUUUUGUUUUUUCAUUUUCUUUUUCGCUUGCUUGUGGAAUUGCACCUGCUAUCAUGCUCAUGCAAAUGGUACGGGAUACUGGUUUUUGACAUUACUAUUUCUCAUACGGGCAUGGUACAAAGGAUGCUUUGGCAAGUUCGAUCAGUUCUCUGGCUUUCUGAUUCCAUUUUGUUGGAGUCAAUUGCCCUUCCCAUAGGUGCUCAAUAUGAAGCAGCCAAGGAUAUGGAGGAUUUGGAGCAACAGGAAAAUGAUUGUAGAAUAACUGAGGAUUUAAGGUUUGAUGUACAUUAUUUCACUGGACAUGCCCCCAAUUUUACAUGAUAAUUUUACAUGUGAUAUAUACAUUAUCAAUUAUUUUAUAAGACAAUCCGCUAUCCAUAAUUUUACAUGUGAUAUAUACAUUAUUAAGUAUCUUCCUCUAAUUAUAUUA